AAACUAACAAAUUACUAGAGAAACCCACACGUAGAAUGUUGAUUUUUAAAACCAAAUUGCGCUUACUGAUAUCAUUCAUAUGCUUAUAGGAAGAAAAACUAUUAGUAGUAAUAAAAUACAGUAGCAGUAAGACAAAUAUGUCUUAUUUGGGUGGCAAAAGAAGAAUGUGAGAUGAUCUGUGGAGGAUUCCCCACUUUUAACAAAAGUCAGCCUGCUCUGCUGAAAUUAGCAAAAUCACACAGGUGAUUUCAAAGAAAACCCAUUGCUUACAAAGAAAUGAGAUAAUGAUAUAACAAAUCAAGUAUAUAAGACAUUCAUUAAUGCCUUUAUAAUUCUCACAAACACACAAAUAAUCCAACAGCAAAUUCUGAUGUAUGUGUGACGCAGGAGGGAAAAUUCAUAGUAGGAGCAAAGAAUUAUCUUUAGUCCUUGCUGGUACAACCACCAUCAUGAAUUCAACAAAUAUUUAUUGAGUGCCUACUAUGUGUCAGGUUCUGUUCUCUAGUUGAAGAUACUAUAGGAAAAAUAACAGAGAAAAACCCCUGUCCUUGUGGAUCUUACAAUAUAGUGAAAGAUUUAAAACCUUGAGUAAGACAUAUACUUGGGUGGCUAAAGGGUUUGUUAUGGAAAAAUUAAGAAGGACUGAUAACAAAAAGGGAAUAAUAGCUACAUAAAGAUAUAAAUACAAAAUGAAGGUUGUUGAUGACAGAUAGUGAAACUGAAUAUAUAAGCAGAGAGCACAUUCUCAUUAUUCUAAAUUAUUUUUGCUAAAAUCAAAUACAAGUAAUUACUUUCCUCUAAUGCAGCUUGAAGAGAGUAUUAUACGUAUGAAUCGAAAAUACUAAGAUGAUGACUAUUGUUAUAUGAUGCACAAGAAGGAACCAUAAUGUGCAACUACCAAAUCCAGACCAACAGACUAGUUUCUACUGGAUAAAAACUUAACUUAAAAACAUAGGGAAAUGUACUGAUAAACUUUCUAACUUAUCUGGAAAUAUAUUCCAGAAAUGAGAGGGGAAGAAUACUGAUUAUAGGAAAUUAUUGCAAAUAUGGAAAUUAGGGGUUAUUAAAGUAAAUUUAUGCAGUUAUCUCAGCAUAGGAGUAGUUUCUUAUGUUUCAUACACAAUUAUGCAUUGCAUAAAAGCUUUCAGUCAACCAUGGAUCGCAUAUACAAGUGGUCCCAAAGAUUGUUAACACUUUAUUUUACUGUAUCUUUUCUAUGUUUAGAUACAUAAAUACUUUCCAUUGUGUUACGAAUGCCUACAGUAUUCAGUACAAUACUAUGCUGUACAGAUUUCUAGGUUAAGAGCAAUAGGCUAUUCCAUAUAGCCUUAGGUGUGUAGCAGGCUUAUGAAAGUACACUCUAUGACGUUGGCACAAUGAAAAAAAUCACCCAGCAAUGAACUUCUCAGAACAUAUCCCCAUUGUUAGGAGGCGCACGACUGUAUUUAGUCCAACAACUUGCUGAAAUGUGAUUCUACCAUUUUUCCAGUCAACUCCUAAGUUUUAAAUACCAUACAUCUGCCACCUUACCAGGCAGUUUCAACCAUAACAACAGAAGAAUACUCUUGGCAAAUAGAUCCCACUCUCUGAGGGUUGUGUUGGGGCUCAGAAAAUACUACCCCGAAGUAUGACACUUUGGCAUGCUGAAUACUUUGAACUAAAAGAGAUUGGAAGGCCUCAGAAGCAGCCUCGGAAGCAGUCUCUCCCUCUGAUCUCCUGCCCUUCUGUCUCCUGCCCAUCUUUCGUCCCAGAAGUGAGUCACAGAAACCAGAAUUCUUCCCCAAGCGCAGCUUAACUUGGACUCACCACCUAUCAAGUGCUCGACAGCCACGUGUGCAGUGGUUCCUACGUGGAGCAGCAUACAUCCAGAGAUGCAAAUAUUAAUGAGGACAGUGCUAGUAACAGAGUUGCUGAGCAAUCUAUGUCCCCUUGUAAGAACCAGUGCCCCAGGGGAAGAAACAGAACUCCACAAGGUAGCAGUGUGGGUGUAGUACCCGCAUGUGCCCAUGUUAUGGGAAUGUAGAUGGGGAGUGACCACCGCCAACAGAAGUGUGGCCAUCUUGCCCGAGAUGCCUGAGGACCUCCUAUUUUUAGAUGCUGCUGCCCAAGGCCUGUAUUUCAUGCUAUGGCUUUUGUCAUUUGAAUUAUCAGUAGCUGUCUCGGAGCUAUUACGCUUCACUGGGCCCUGGAGGAUAUUGUCUUAUACAGUCCACUGGGUUUUGGAUAUGCAGUCUGUGCCUUUCAUUGCCUUCCUGGAAAAUAAUAACUAAACUCUUCCUCACCA